rnacentral:rRNA from 1 species
AUGCCAACCACGGCCGUCGCACGAUCCUUCUUCUCAUCGGCAGCACCGCCUUCUCUCCUCCACGCUGGAUCGCGGGCCACGGUCGCCUCCUUCCCGCUUGGAUCUCCUCCUGCCGUCGCGCUCUCCCUCUCGGUCUCCGCCUCCGCCCCCACCUCGCCGUGGGCGCCGGCGGCCAACCCCAAGUACCACAACGCGAACGUGGACGCGGGAGACGAGGACGUGGACGGGGGCGAUCUGCUGCGGCAGUUCACGCGGGAGGUGGGGCGAGCCGGCGUCAUGCACGAGGUCAGGCGGCGGCGGUGGCACGAGAACGCGCGGGACAAGCGCAAGCGAAAGUCCCGCGACGCCGCAUGGAGGUUCAGCCGCAGGCGUUUCAAGGGUCCAUAUCCAUUUGACGAUGAACAGGGGUCGAAGGAGCGAACCACCGACGAUGAUGGGCGUGACAACUGGGAGCUUCCUGGAGGAGAGUUUCCUUCUUUCAGAUGA